rnacentral:lncRNA from 1 species
CUUGAGCCUGUUGUGUCACCUGUUAAGAAAUCAGUAUGGCUUGUCAAGUCAAUUGACAAAACCAUACAAUAAAACACCAUACUGCAUGAAUGCUCCUAAUAAUAAGUAUAUAUAAAAUGGGAUUUUUUUAUUGAGCUGUAGAGGAAAUAAAUUGUGCGAUUAUGAGACUGUGGAUAGAUAAGAGCAAGAGGGAGACACGAGGACAGCAGGCAAACAGCUCAAGCGUUUGGCUAACCUGUCACUGACGACUACCUGACCAACGCCCGACGCUACUUCACGAGUGGAGCUUCGUAGCCAAGCCAUUUUUCUGGAGAACACUUCAAAAUGAGAAGAUCCUGCCAUGGAAAAGACGACUGGGCGGACAUAAAGUGGAAAUGAGGGGAAAUAACUCACACCAUGCAGCAGGACACCUUCAGCUGCGGGGUCUUUGUAAUGCAGAUGGCCAAGGAAGUUGCACAGAACUUCCCCAACAUCCCCUCCCAAAUUCAUAUGGAACCUUCAAAAACAUAUGGAGCAACUGCGAAAAGAAAUGGCUGAGAAUAUUUAAAAAAUGUCUGAGUUCAACAAAGCCAACAACUGCUUCAUGUGUGCCACUGAUAAACAACCUGGAUGUGGCCCAAAGACUGACUGGAUUGAAUGUUUUGCAUGCCAACGGUGGUUCCAUGUGCUCUAACUAGGAAUGAAGACAAAAGAGUUCAACAGAGUAAAGAACACAAACUGGAAGUGCAGUCUUUGUUGUUGAAAAUGUAUGCUAUACCCCAUCCACACUGAAGAGGCUCUGAAAUGUACAUCAACCAGGGAUAAAGAGAAAGUUAACACUGAAAUGUUUCAUACUUAUUUGAAGUUAAGUGUCUGUUGACAUGUUGGAAAAGAUUAACGGUCUACAAUUUCUGUUUAAUUUGUCAAUAUUCAAUUUUUAUUCAUU